CCCAUAAAUGUACCUGCUUUGAACAUUGCACUGCACUCACCAUUUACUCGUAUGCAUUCUGUGGGACAAGCAAGCUUUUUAUUUGUGUCAGUCAAGUAUGAAGUUCAAGGAAAAGAAAAUGCCAAGCAUGUUUAGGCGGAAAUCAAAGAAUGUGAACGAAGACAAACCUUUAAUGAAAAACAUAGAGCAGACAGAUGUGACCCUUCCACCAGAGGAACAGGCAUCUGGAGUUCCUGAUCUCAUUGCUCUAGAUGCUGAAGCACUUAACAAGAGAGUGCUUCAUGCUCUCAGAAAGAUUCUGAGUGACCAAUCAACCUCUGAGGACUUUGAUGCUGCAGCUGAGGUGCUGAAAACAUUGAGCAAACUGAAUAACAACUAUUCUCAAGACUGGCUUUGUGAGUACCUUCAAGAAAUUAAUCAGUUUGUGGAGAACCACUUUCCCACGCUGCCAGCAGAGGGACCACAAGGAUCUCAGUUGGAGCAGAUACAGGACUUUCAGAGAACACAGAGCAUGAUAAAUGAUAAGGUGCUUCGAUUAACACCUGCACUGAAAGAUGCUGGGCUGCUAGAUCAUCUGAUGGACAGUUACAGCCGUCACCUCUUUACCAACCUGGACCUGCUGCUAAACAGAGAUCUGUCUGUGAAAGAGAUCUUCUGCCUUCUGCUGUGGGGAAAAGAUGUUUUCUUCAGUUCAGACUCACAGCAUUUCUUCAGAGUGCACGACCCUCUGCUGUUGACAAAUUGGUUUGAGAGAGCAACGGAGAAACUGCUUCCAAAAUUAAAGGUUAUGAUAUGCUCCAUAUUUAUUUGUUAA
rnacentral:lncRNA from 12 species